rnacentral:rRNA from 1 species
AGAGUUUGAUCCUGGCUCAAAUCAACGCUGGCGGCGUGCCUAACACAUGCAAGUCGAACGACAAAGGGUGGGAUACCUGAGUAAAGUGGCGCACGGGUGAGUAACACGUGACUAACCUACCCUGUAGUGGGGGAUAACUGAAGGAAACCUUACCUAAUACCGCAUAAUACCUACUGGUCAAAGGAUCAAUUCGCUUUGGGAGGGGGUCGCGGCCAAUUAAUUACUUGGCGGGGUAAUGACCCACCAAGACUGUGAUCGGAAUCCCGCCUGAGAGGGCGCACGGACACACUGCAACUGACACCCGGUCCAAACUCCGACGGGAGGCGGCAAUGGGGAAUUUUGCGCAUUGGGGGAAACCCUGACACAGCAACCCCGCGUGGAGGAUGAAAUACUUCUGUACGUAAACUCCUUUCAAUCGGCACAAUCAUGACGGUACCGGAAAAAUAAUCACCGGCUAACUACUUGCCAGCAGCCGCGGUAAUACGUAGGGUGCUAGCGUUAAUCGGAAUUACUGGGCGUAAAGCGUGCGCAGGCGGUUCGUUAAGACAGAUGUGAAAUCCCCGGGCUUAACCUGGGAACUGCAUUUGUGACUGGCGAGCUAGAGUAUGGCAGAGGGGGGUAGAAUUCCACGUGUAGCAGUGAAAUGCGUAGAGAUGUGGAGGAAUACCGAUGGCGAAGGCAGCCCCCUGUCCCAAUACUGACGUUCAUGCAGGAAAGGGGGGGGAGCAACCAGGAUUAAAUACCUUGGUAGUCCACCCCCUAAACGAUGUCAACUAGUUGUUGGGUCUUCAUUGACUUAGUAACGUAGCUAACGCGAGAAGUUCACCGCCUGGGGAGUACGGUCGCAAGAUUAAAACUCAAAGGAAUUGACGG